UACGAAGGGUGCAAGCGUUACUCGGAAUUACUGGGCGUAAAGCGUGCGUAGGUGGUUUGUUAAGUCUGAAUGUGAAAGCCCUGGGCUCAACCUGGGGAAUUGCAUUGGAUACUGGCAGGCUAGAGUGCGGUAGAGGAUGGCGGAAUUCCCGGUGUAGCAGUGAAAUGCGUAGAGAUCGGGAGGAACAUCUGUCGGCGAAGGCGGCCAUCUGGACCAGCACUGACACUGAGGCACGAAAGCGUGGGGAGCAAACAGG
rnacentral:rRNA from 1 species